rnacentral:rRNA from 1 species
AUUGGACGCUGGCGGCAGGCCUAACACAUGCAAGUCGAGCGGAUGAAGGGAGCUUGCUCCUGGAUUCAGCGGCGGACGGGUGAGUAAUGCCUAGGAAUCUGCCUGGUAGUGGGGGAUAACGUCCGGAAACGGGCGCUAAUACCGCAUACGUCCUGAGGGAGAAAGUGGGGGAUCUUCGGACCUCACGCUAUCAGAUGAGCCUAGGUCGGAUUAGCUAGUUGGUGGGGUAAAGGCCUACCAAGGCGACGAUCCGUAACUGGUCUGAGAGGAUGAUCAGUCACCAUGGAACUGAGACACGGUCCAGACUCCUACGGGAGGCAGCAGUGGGGAAUAUUGGACAAUGGGCGAAAGCCUGAUCCAGCCAUGCCGCGUGUGUGAAGAAGGUCUUCGGAUUGUAAAGCACUUUAAGUUGGGAGGAAGGGCAGUAAGUUAAUACCUUGCUGUUUUGACGUUACCAACAGAAUAAGCACCGGCUAACUUCGUG